AAGUCACGCAACGUUGAUUACACACUUGUUUAUUGCAUUUCAAAGUUAAUAACUUGGUUGAAGCAAACAUGGCAUUCCAAUGUUUUCGUGCGGCAAAAACUACAGACGAAGAAAGGUGUUUGCUUGCAGAAACGACACCGAAAAUCACUGCAUAUAGUACGAAAUGGGCUUUGAAGGUUUUCGAAGAGUGGCAGUCUACUCGCUCAAACAAAAUAGCGUCGAAAGAGCCCGUUAGCUUUGAAGGAGUGGUUUUUCUUUGAAGGAGUGGCGAGUGUACAAAACUUAAGCGUGCCUAUAGAUGAAAUGACGACAUAGUCCUUAAACUUCUGGUUAUCUAAGUUCUGGUUAUCUUUUCUCACUUUGAAGGAGUAGCGAGUGUACAAAACUUAAGCGUGCCUAUAGAUGAAAUGACGACAUAUUCGUUAAACUUCUGAUUAUCUAAGUUCGUAAUGGCAGUAGCAAAGCGAAAUAGUGUGAAUGGUACUCGCCUAGAAGUUUGUACUUGUUGGUAUGUGGAAUAAAUCGCCAUUUACUCGAGUUGAAGAAGAAUAAUGGCGUCAGUAUUUUGGCGAAAGGAGGUCGAAGGUU